rnacentral:lncRNA from 1 species
AGAGUGAGCGCUCAGGUGUAUAUAUAAGAUUACAUAUCGUCGCAAAUUCGUCCUAAGUUUACGACGAAAUAGCGAGCAGUUACAAAGGCCCGUAUUUUUUUUCUUACGAGGAAAUUGCGAGGAAUCACAAAGGCCCGUGUUUUUGUUUACGAGGUAUUAACGACGAUUUUGCAUACGUGGAAUUAACGAGACUUGCUUUCC